CUGACAGUCCCACACCUGCGCUGACGAUCGCACACCUGCCCCGAUGGCCCCACACCUGCCAUGACCGCCCAACACGUACCUGCCCUGACAGUCACACACCUGCCAUGACGGCCCCACACCUGCCUGGACAGUCCCACACCUGCCAUGACGGCCCUACACGGCCACACCUGCCCUCACGAUCGCACACUUGCCCUGACGGCCCAACACCUGCCCUGACAGUCCCACACCUGCCGUGACGGCCCAACACCUGCCCUGACAGUCCCACACCUGCCGUGACGGCCCAACACCUGCCCUGACAGUCCCACACCUGCCAUGACGGCCCCACACCUGCCCUGACUGUCCCACACCUGCCAUGACGGCCCAACACCUGCCCUGACAGUCCCACACCUGCCAUGAUGGCCCCACACCUGCCCUGACUGUCCCACACCUGCCAUGACGGCCCAAUACCUGCCCUGACAGUCCCACACCUGCCAUGACGGCCCCACACCUGCCAUGACAGUCCCACACCUACCGUGACGGCCCAACACCUGCCCUGACAGUCCCACACCUGCCGUGACGGCCCAACACCUGGUCUGACAGUCCCACGCCUGCCCUGACAGUCCCACGCCUGCCAUGAUGGCCCAACACCUGCCCUGACAGUCCCACACCUGCCAUGAUGGCCCCACACCUGCCAUGACAGUCCCACACCUGCCAUGAUCGCUCACCACCUGCCAUGAUGGCCCAACACCUGCUCUAACAGUCCCACACCAGCAAUGAUGGCCCCACACCUGCCAUGACAAUCGCGCGCACCUGCCCUGACAACCUCGAUCACACCUGCCCUGACAGUCCCACACCUGCCAUGACGGCCCAUACCUGCCCUGACGAUCCCACACUUGCCCUGACCGACAGCCCCACACCUGCCUUGACAGUCCCACACCUGCCCUGACAGUCCCACACCUGCCUUGACAGCCCCACACCUGUCGUGAUGUACGGCCCCACACCUGCAUUGACGUAUGGCCCCACAUCUGCCCUCACAGUCCCACACCUGCCAUGACGGCCCCACACCUGCCGUGACGAUCCAACACCUCCCAUGAUGGGCCCACACCUACCGUGACGACCCCAAACCUGCACUGAUGACACAACACCAGCCCUGACACACCCACACUUGCCUUGAUGAGACCACACCUGCCCUGACAGCCCCAAACCUGCUCUGACAAUCCCACACCUGCCCUGACAUCGUCACACCUGCUUUGAAAGCCCCACACCUGCCCUGACGAUCCAACACCUUCCAUGAUGGCCCCACACCUACCCUGACGACCCCAAACCUGCACUGAUGACACCACACCUGCCCUGACAGCCCCACACCUGGCCUGACAAUCCCACACCUGCCCUGACAUCCUCACACCUGCCCUGAAAGCCCCACACCUGCCAUGACAGCCCCACACCUGUCCUGACAAUAAUCCUUGAUGGGCCCACACCUGCCCUGCCAACCCUACACCUGCUCUGAUGACCCCACACCUGUACUGAUGACCCCACAUAUCAUUGCCCUAUUUCGUGACAAUCUAUCGUCUGGUGCAGUGGUUCCCAAUCUGGGGGGCAUGCCUCCUUGGGGGGCGUGAGCUAGGUAAAGAGAGGGUGUGAUUCCAUCUGCCAAAAAUUGCAGUUUUGCAAGAAAUAAACACACACACACACACACACACACACGAAGGAGUAACAAAUGAUGUGGGGCGUGAGGAUUUCUUAUAAAUCAAUAGGGGGCAUCAUGUGAAAAGUUUGGGAGCCACUGGUCUAGUGUCUUUAUUUCCUUGGCAUUGGCUUAUGUGUCUCUAUUCAGGGGAAGGGACAGUUAGUUCACAUAUUAUUUCCCCUUUUCAUAACAUAAUCUAUCACCUUGCGUCCAUUUCUUUCCCAGUAGUUCUUUGUAUUUUUCCAGCAGUUUGUCAUUUUCUUUUCUGUUCCUGUCCAGGAGAUUUUGCCAUAAUUCAGAGGAAGGAGGAAGCACGCUGGUCUGUUGUGUUUCAUCUCGUAAUGUCCUUUUCGUAAUUUCCAGCAGCAGCUUCCAAUUAUGUUUUCACUUUGUGUCACUUUGUAUCUUCCAGAGGUUUGCGAUUAUGCUGUUACUUACUGUCUGGAAAUGCUGCCUUCGUUGUGAGGAUGGAAGAAGUAGCUACAUAUUAUCCUCUGUAUUAGUAUAGCUACACACUAUUAUUCCAUGAUGUAAUCUAUUGCAAUGUAUCUUUUUGUACUUUCCAGCAGCCUGCAAUCAUGCCCUUCCUUCCUGUAUUAAUUGUGAGGAUGGAAGAAGUAGCUACAUAUCAUCCUCAGUAUGUACUAUUAGAGGUAGGUACAUACUUUCCAUACUGUAAUCUAUCGUAAUGUAUUGUAUUGUAUUUUCCAGCAGCCUGCAAUCAUGCCCUUCCUUCCUGUCUUGAUCUUCCAACACUCAGUUCUAAGCACACAAGCACAUGUUAUCUUAUUCCACCCCUUUGUUCUUCCUCCCUUCCUCAGUAUCUAACCUUUCCUUGUUGGUUUCCAUGAAUAAGUUUUUUCCUUUUUGAGUAUGUCUUCCUAAUGUAACUAUUGGUCUAUGUUUUUUGUUUGUUUGUUCUAGUCCACACACACACACACACACACACACACACACAUGCAUACAGACACACACCAGAAUUGGUUUGGGAAUUCUAUUUUCUCAUCAGCUUCCUGUCUAUCCCCUGUCUGCCUGUAGCACCAGUAGGCCCUCUUGGACGGCCCCAGCCCAUUAGCGGAACAGGCGAAUUUUAUUUAUAGUGGCUGCCGUGAUGUGACUCCUGCUUCAUUUACUGCCCUCAGCUGUUUCCUUUACCAUAAAAAAAAAUGUAGGCAUACAUUCAGGGGAGGCAGUGGCUGAGUGGUUAGCGUGCCAGCCUUGCAUUCGGUGCGUUGUCCAUGAUGGUUCGAAUCCGCCGCUAACCACCUGGGAUUUUUCAGUCACCGCCAAGUGGCCUAAGACUACCCACAUGCUGUCCUGAAGACCACCUAUCAACCCAGACUCUAGAAGAAGCUCUGCAGCACAAGUGGAAUCAAGAAUGAGCUCCGGGGGGCAGCAUGAGCCAAUAAUAAUAAUGGCGCCACUAUAAACAAUUGCCUGCGCCAUGACGGGCUAGGGCCGACCAUCAGGCUCAUAUGGAUUAGCCUACCGGCGCUGUAGGCCACAUGUAAAAAAAAAAUUAAAAAAAAAAUAAAAAAUAAAAAAACUUCAAAAUGUUGCAUGUAUAUAUAUUUCUUAACCCGUCCGCUGCAAUUGGCACGGAUUUUGCCUUCACUGGUAGCCUGGUAACAUAAUUAUACUCCCAGGCCUUUCUCUGCCUCUGUGGUGGAUAGUGGAGUGUUUCCCAUGUGGUAUUGGUGUGCUGGAUAUCCCUUCACUGGUAGCCUGGUAACAUACACUCCCAGGCCUUUCUCUGCCUCUGUGGUGGAUAGUGGAGUGUUUCCCAUGUGGUAUUGGUGUGCUGGAUAUCCCUUCACUGGUAGCCUGGUAACAUACACUCCAAGGCCUUUCUCUGCCUCUGUGGUGGAUAGUGGAGUGUUUCCCAUGUGGUAUUGGUGUGCUGGAUAUCCCUUCACUGGUAGCCUGGUAACAUAAUUAUACUCCCAGGCCUUUCUCUGCCUCUGUGGUGGAUAGUGGAGUGUUUCCCAUGUGGUAUUGGUGUGCUGGAUAUCCCUUCACUGGUAGCCUGGUAACAUACACUCCCAGGUCUUUCUCUGCCUCUGUGGUGGAUAGUGGAGUGUUUCCCAUGUGGUAUUGGUGUGCUGGAUAUCCCUUCACUGGUAGCCUGGUAACAUACACUCCCAGGUCUUUCUCUGCCUCUGUGGUGGAUAGUGGAGUGUUUCCCAUGUGGUAUUGGUGUGCUGGAUAUCCCUUCACUGGUAGCCUGGUAACAUACACUCCAAGGUCUUUCUCUGCCUCUGUGGUGGAUAGUGAAGUGUGUCCCAUGUGGUAUCAGUGUGCUGGAUAUCCCUUCACUGGUAGCCUGGUAACAUACACUCCCAGGUCUUUCUCUACUUCUGUGGUGGAUAUUGGAGUGUUUCCCAUGUGGUAUUGGUGUGCUGGAUAUCCCUUCACUGGUAGCCUGGUAACAUAUAAUCCCAGGUCUUUCUCUGCCUCUGUGGUGGAUAGUGGAGUGUUUCCCAUGUGGUAUUGGUAUGUUGGAUAUCCCUUCACUGGUAGCCUGGUUGCAUACACUCCUAGGUCUUUCUCUGCCUCUGUGGUGGAUAGUGGAGUGUUUCCCAUGUGGUAUUGGUGUACUGGAUAUCCCUUCAGUGGUAGCCUGGUAACAUACACUCCCAGGUCUUUCUCUGCCUCUGUGGUGGAUAGUGGUGCGUUUCCCAUGUAUGCUGGAUAUCCCUUCACUGGUAGCCUGGCAACAUACACUCCCAGGUCUUUCUCUGCCUCUGUGGUGGAUAUUGGUGUGUUUCCCAUGUGGUAUUGGUGUGGUGGAUAUCCCCAGGUAUGCUGGAUAUCCCUUCACUGGUAGCCUGGCAACAUACACUCCCAGGUCUUUCUCUGCCUCUGUGGUGGAUAUUGGUGUGUUUCCCAUGUGGUAUUGGUGUGCUGGAUAUUCCUUCAGUGGUAGCCUGGUAACAUACACUCCCAGGUCUUUCUCUGCCUCUGUGGUGGAUAGUGGAGUGUUUCCCAUGUGGUAUUGGUGUGCUGGAUAUCCCUUCAGUGGUAGCCUGGUAACAUACACUCCCAGGUCUUUCUCUGCCUCUGUGGUGGAUAGUGGAGUGUUUCCCAUGUGGUAUUGGUGUGCUGGAUAUCCCUUCACUGGUAGCCUGGUAACAUACACUCCCAGGUCUUUCUCUCCCUCUGUGGUGGAUAGUGGAGUGUUUCCCAUGUGGUAUUGGUGUGCUGGAUAUCCCCUCCCAAGGUUCAGGACUUUACAUUUUUUCCUCAUUGCAUUGUAGCAGCCACUUUUUGUUCCACUCCUAAAGCUUGGUGAUGUCUUCUUGUAGGAAAUCCACAGUCAAGGGGUUAAAAAUAGGCCUUUCUGACAAACUGUUGCAAUUUUUAUAACACUCUUACUUCCCUUAUCAGAUUAUAUUAUGUUGUUUGUCUGUCCACAACACAAGUCCUGCAGCAAUACUUCCUCUCCACAACACAAGUCCUACAGCAAUACUUCCUCUCCACAACACAAGUCCUAUAGCAAUACUUCCUCUCCACAACACAAGUCCUACAGCAAUACUUCCUCUCCAUAACACAAGUCCUACAGCAAUACUUCCUCUCCACAACACAAGUCCUACAGCAAUACAAGGAUCGUAAUGUUACGUCCACGUAAAGACGAGAAAUAAGCAAACAGUGAGUGCUGGGCUGACGUAACCUUGCCUCGACGUACAGAGAUCAAAGUGUGAAUUGAAGUUACUUAUACAAACAUCUCGUAAGUAAGGUUGACAAGUUAUAUUCCAUCAGUUUAAAUCAUGUAAUCUUCCCUAUACAUACAGAUCAAGGCAACAUAUGAAAUGAAAUGAGGUUACUUAUACAAACAUCUCGCAGGUUAAGGUUGACAUAACUUAUAUAUCGUUAGUUUAAGAGACGUAAUCUUGCCUAUACGUACAGAGAUCAAAAUAACACAUCUUGAGGGUAGGAUUCACGUAACUUGUAUUUCGUUAGUUUAAGGUUACGUAUACUUACAAUAACGUUGUAAAGAGGGAAAGAAUAAAGGAAAGAAAGAAGGUGUGUUGAAAGGUCAUCUUAUCGCCUACAAACACCUAGAGACAAACAUUGGGGUGAGGGAGGGAGGGAAGGGUAGCGCACACACACACACACACACACACACACACACACACACACACACACACAAAUGAAAUUAUAAACACCAACCCACAUACCCCAAUCAAACACCUCCACACUAAACAUCCUUUUUCGACCGUCCAUGUUGAGAGAGGAGGAGGAGGAGGAGGAGACGAGAGUAGAUGUGGAGCCGCCAGCGAUGGAGUUGGCGGCUGUUCCUCCGUCCUUCCCUUCGGCGG